rnacentral:tRNA from 1 species
GGGGCUAUGGUAUAGUUGGUAAUACGCUGCGUUCGCAAUGCAGAGAUCAGGGGUUCGAGUCCCCUUAGCUCCACCA